rnacentral:lncRNA from 1 species
CCGAGGGGAAUGGGGAAUCGGCAGGAAAUGACCCGAACUGCCAGCCUGCGCCUUUGCAGCCGGCCCUCGCUUUGCUGAAGACGAGCAGCUCCCACCAAAGUCUUGCCUCCCCUUACCCCGAAAGCCCCGCUCAGGGUCUCACUCUGCCAUCACCCAGGCUGGAGUGUGGUGGCACCAUCAUGGCUCACUGCAGCCUUGAACUCCUGAGCUCAAGUCAUCCUCCCACCUCAGCCUUCCGAGUAGCUGGAACUGCAGGUGUGAGCCACCAUGCCUGGCUGAUUUGUCUUUUUAAAUUUUUUAUAGAGACCGAGUCUCAACUAUAUUGUCCAGGCUGGAAAAGAACUUCUUUCCCUCCAAGUGAUAACCUUUUCCAGACAAGUCAGCUUAAAAACUGACCCAAAGGCCCUGAAGUACACAGUUUUCUUGGAGAAAGAAAAAAAUAAGUGAAAAGGACUUGCUGACUUGCUAAUUCAUUUUGGGGCCUGUGGGUAACAUCAGAAUGGCAAAGCACUUGGGGCUUUUUUCUAAUUUGUAUUUUUUUAAUCUUCUGAGAAAUGACUUUUAUAUGCCAAGAUUCAUUCCAUGAUUAGUUUUUAUGACCAAGUUAUGAACGCUUUUGAAUAUGGGGACCUAGAAUAGAAAUGCUAACCUACCUGCAAGGAGAGCUCUGUGAUUGGCAUCCCCAUCAUGCUGUAACUGACACAAAAUAAACUUAGGGUAAUUGCCGCAUAGUGUAACUUUAAUGUGUGAGCAUACUGUAACAUCUGACAAGCUUCUUGAUCUAGAUCAGCAAUGUGUAACCCAUUCAUUGUUGUCACUCUCAACAAGGCCUUAUGGUCAAACAUCAUCACUCUCACUAAAGAGAUAGUUUACUGAAAUAUACUGAGAUUUUGAAACUGGAGUCAAGAGGUAGCACACUGUUUUAUGUUGAUCCAUUUAAUGGUCCUUGACAGCCAAUAAAAA